UGGUUCUGGCAUCGAUGAAGAACGCAGCGAAAUGCGAUAAGUAAUGUGAAUUGCAGAAUUCAGUGAAUCAUCGAAUCUUUGAACGCACAUUGCGCCCAUUAGUAUUCUAGUGGGCAUGCCUGUUCGAGCGUCAUUACGUCCAUUAAGCCUAGCUGCUUAGCGUUGGGAGCCUGCUGGCGCGGCCUGCAGCUCCUCAAAACCAGUGGCGGAGUUAGCGUACACUCUAGGCGUAGUAAUUCUCACCUCGCCUCUGUGGUUGCGCUGGCGCCUGCCGUAAAACACCCAACUUUUAGUGGUUUGACCUCGGAUCAGGUAGGAAUACCCGCUGA
rnacentral:misc_RNA from 1 species